rnacentral:rRNA from 1 species
UACGAGGGGGGCGAGCGUUGUUCGGAAUUAUUGGGCGUAAAGGGUGCGUAGGCGGUUUGGUAAGUCUUGUGUGAAAUCUUCGGGCUCAACUCGAAGUCUGCACGAGAAACUGCCGGGCUUGAGUAUGGGAGAGGUGAGUGGAAUUCCCGGUGUAGCGGUGAAAUGCGCAGAUAUCAGGAGGAACACCGGUGGCGAAGGCGGGUCUCUGGGCCGAUACUGACGCUGAGGAGCGAAAGCGUGGGGAGCGAACAGG